rnacentral:rRNA from 1 species
UGGGGAAUAUUGGGCAAUGGACGCAAGUCUGACCCAGCAACGCCGCGUGAAGGAAGAAGGCUUUCGGGUUGUAAACUUCUUUUAAGGGGGAAGAGGAGAAGACGGUACCCCUUGAAUAAGCCACGGCUAACUACGUGCCAGCAGCCGCGGUAAUACGUAGGUGGCAAGCGUUGUCCGGAUUUACUGGGUGUAAAGGGCGUGUAGGCGGAGAUGCAAGUUGGGAGUGAAAUCCAUGGGCUCAACCCAUGAACUGCUCUCAAAAACUGUAUCCCUUGAGUAUCGGAGAGGCAAGCGGAAUUCCUAGUGUAGCGGUGAAAUGCGUAGAUAUUAGGAGGAACACCAGUGGCGAAGGCGGCUUGCUGGACGACAACUGACGCUGAGGCGCGAAAGCGUGGGAGCAAACAGGAUUAGAUACCCUGGUAGU